CCUGGCGGCCGUAGCGCGGUGGUCCCACCUGACCCCAUGCCGAACUCAGAAGUGAAACGCCGUAGCGCCGAUGG
rnacentral:rRNA from 4 species